AACGAACGCUGGCGGCAUGCCUAACACAUGCAAGUCGAACGGUGUUCCCGCUUCGGCGGGGGCAUAGUGGCGCACGGGUGAGUAACGCGUGGGAACCUGCCCCGUGGUACGGAACAACUCCGGGAAACUGGAGCUAAUACCGUAUGUGUCCCCUGGGACAAAGAUUGCAUCGCCAUGGGAGGGGCCCGCGUAGGAUUAGGUAGUUGGCGGGGUAACGGCCCACCAAGCCCGCGAUCCUUAGCUGGUCUGAGAGGAUGAUCAGCCACACUGGGACUGAGACACGGCCCAGACUCCUACGGGAGGCAGCAGUGGGGAAUAUUGGACAAUGGGCGCAAGCCUGAUCCGGCAAUGCCGCGUGAGUGAUGAAGGCCUUCGGGUUGUAAAGCUCUUUCGCACGCGACGAUGAUGACGGUAGCGUGAGAAGAAGCCCCGGCUAACUUCGUGCCAGCCGCCGCGGUAA
rnacentral:rRNA from 1 species